CUCCUACGGGGGCGCAGCAGUGGGGAAUAUUGCGCAAUGGGGGAAACCCUGACGCAGCAACGCCGCGUGCGGGAUGAAGGCUUUCGGGUUGUAAACCGCUUUCAGCAGGGAAGAUAAUGACGGUACCUGCAGAAGAAGCCCCGGCUAACUACGUGCCAGCAGCCGCGGUAAUACGUAGGGGGCAAGCGUUAUCCGGAUUUACUGGGUGUAAAGGGAGCGUAGGUGGCAGGGCAAGUCAGAUGUGAAAACCCGGUGCUCAACCCCGGGCGCGCAUUUGAACCUGUCCAGCUGG
rnacentral:rRNA from 1 species